rnacentral:rRNA from 1 species
AAUCAACGCUGGCGGCGUGCCUCAGACAUGCAAGUCGAACGAUUAAAGCUCUCUUCGGAGAGUGUAUAGAGUGGCGCACGGGUGAGUAACACGUAAGUAAUUUACCCUCGAGUGGGGAAUAACGUCCGGAACGGACGCUAAUACCGCAUAAUGCAGCGGCACCGCAAGGUGACAGUUGUUAAAGAUUUAUCGCUUGAGGAGGAGCUUGCGGCAGAUUAGCUAGUUGGUAAGGUAAUGGCUUACCAAGGCUACGAUCUGUAACCGGUCUAAGAGGACGGUCGGUCACACUGACACUGAAUAACGGGUCAGACUCCUACGGGAGGCAGCAGUCGGGAAUUUUGGGCAAUGGGCGAAAGCCUGACCCAGCAACGCCGCGUGAAGGAUGAAGUAUUUCGGUAUGUAAACUUCGAAAGAAUGGGAAGAAUCAAUGACGGUACCAUUUAUAAGGUCCGGCUAACUACGUGCCAGCCGCCGCGGU